AUUUGCCCGUGAAUCAUAUCCUCAUGCCCGAAAUAGCUCCUCACGCCCAAAACCUAAAUUCGCGACCACCUCCUCACGCGUAGCUCCUGCCGCCGGAACCUCCCUGCCGCAUCUCCUCUCCGCCAACAUUUUUGCCCACCCCUCUCCGGCUAAAUCCUCUCAGCCGAAGCCCUCUCAGCCGAAGCCCUCCUCCUCAUGCUAACUCUCUCCACCGAAGCCCUCUCUGCCGAAGUUCUCCUCACGUGAACUCCCUCCGCCAAAACCUCUCUGCCGCAACCCUAAACUCCUCUCUGCCAAACAUCUCUGCCCAUCCUCUCUCAGACGAAGAGCUCUCCGGCGAAGCCCUCUCAUCUGAAGCCCUUUCGUCCAAAGCUCUCCACUAAACAAGUUAGUCACAUGCUUGAUUUUGGCUUGUAGUGCAAGGUGACCUUCUGUUCAGCAUACAAGUUGCUGCCAUGGUGGAUAUUAAUAAAGAGAAUGGUCAUUUGGAUUGAGAAGGAGUUUGGUGGUUGAACUGUUUCACGAAUCAUUUUGGAAUUGGAAUGACGAAGUUCACAGCUGCAGCAAGAGAAUCCAUUGAUGCAGUUUCUGCAAUUCAUAAACGCUCAAAAAGGAUUUGAAGAAAAAGGAGAGGGAAAAUCAAGGAAUUAUAGUUAAAUAAGAGGGAAAAGGAACUUAAACACGGAGAAGAUGCAACAACAGUGAAACUCCUAGAUAAGAUGAAGGUUAAGAUGGAAGUCUUGAGAGCAGCACAAACACUAGCGGCUAGUGGAAUACUAUUGGAUGCAUAUUAGAUUGAUGUAGUGUUGAAAUACUGUUGAUGAUGAAGUCUUUGAUUGUUAGUGAUUCAUGAGUUUUGUAGUCGAUUUAGAGAAAUUUAUGAGUUUUGUAGUCGAUAUAGAGAAAUUUAUGAGUUUUGUAGUCGA